AGUUGUGCGCCUCUGACUGGAGCCGGGAUCUGCACGGAUGGCCCUCUGGGCUGAGGGGGAUGGUCUGGCCCUGCUCUGGAGCCUGUCUCUUGGGGUUGGAUGGGGCAAAUAGAUGUCACCAUCCUUGUCAGCCUGGCCCUAGCUUUCCUUGCGUGCAUCGUGUUCCUGGUGGUUUACAAAGCCUUCACCUAUGAUCACAGCUGCCCAGAGGGAUUCGUCUAUAAGCACAAACGCUGUAUCCCAGCCUCCCUGGAUGCUUACUACUCCUCCCAGGACCCCAAUUCCAGAAGCCGCUUCUACACAGUCAUCAGCCACUACAGCGUGGCCAAGCAGAGCACUGCCCGGGCCAUCGGGCCAUGGCUGUCGGCAGCCGCUGUCAUCCAUGAGCCCAAGCCGCCCAAGACCCAGGGCCACUAGAGGCCUGCCCCAGCCAGAAUGGGGGGCGGGGUGGAGAAGAGGACCCCCAUUGGCUAAGCCAAGCUCCAGUUACAAGACAACACUGUACUCCUGGGAUAUGGGGGCGGGGGCGGGGCAGGGCAGGGUGGGGGAGGAACGCACCAAAAACAUGGUGUGUGCUGGAGUUGUCUGAACCGAUAUUUCUUUUUGUUCCUUGGUAUUGUUGAUUCGUCCCCGAGUCAGGCUCAUGUACAAAGGCAUGUUUCGUGUUGAUUGUUCCCAUGUAAGAUAUUUUUAAAGCCACUGCUUAUUCUUUGUUAGGAAAACGUAACAGCAGAAAAGGAAAGAAACAAAGAACAUGAACAAAAAGCAUUAAAUUGGCUCCAUCGGAAGACGUUGAAGGGCAGUGAAGAGCACAGACUCUGUGGGCUUCUUAGAUAAGAAAAUGUAGCUUCAGUGGGGGCUCCAGGGGUGCAGAAUAUGUGAGUGACACAGACCGGGACUAUUCCAUUAGCCUGCGGUCUGCAGGGUAGGCACGUGGGAAAUGAGGAAUGGCCGAGCUGGAGAGAAGAACUGAUUUUGGCAUUACUAAGCUCAGAAUGCACAUAACCCAUAGUGAAAUGUGCUGGCCUCUGGUGCAUUUUGCAAGAUGAGCACAAACUUUCUGGGCCUCCGUACUAGGACCUGGGCAGACCCACAUGGCCUGGGCUCUGAAUGCCCACCCUGCGACGGUGGGUUCUGCAUCAGCAAACGCUGAGGAGUGGGCAGAUUUUCUUUGUCUUUUGUUUGCAUUUUCUAGAUCCACACCUGGAUACUGCCCAUGUUGAAGAGACAGCAGCGGGGGGAGAGGGAAGGAAGGAAGG
rnacentral:sRNA from 1 species